CUUGCUUGAAUGUGACAGGGAGCUGACAGAUGCUCUCAAGGUCUGCUAGACAAAUAUUCCUGCCUGUCUUGUUCACACUGUUCAGUUAUGAGGAUAGGAGACAUUCCUCAUAAGAGAAACAGAAAACUUUCUGGUCAGAAACUUUCAAAGUUGAUAGAACUCUGAGAAACAUGUUUCUUUGAUAAAAAGAAAUAUGUUAGUAACCGUAAGAGCAAUAUGAGAAGAACUUCGGGUGUCAACAAGUCUCCAAUCACAGGCAAAAGAAAUCAUUCUGAGCAAACUCAUCACUACAUCUAUUUCUUCUAGGCUGACACUGGAAAUUAAGGGGCUGAGUCAUCCUUUCUUUCAAAUUCUGCUAAGAUUUUCUUCAAAUUAGUUCCUGAAGCCACUGCAUAUCUAUCUGGAUGUGCUAAUCCUGAGAGUACCUAAAAGAAGGUGGACAAGGAUUACCACAUGAGCAGCUGUCUUUGGGCUAUUCACUUUGUUUUGCCUCCUUUGGAAGAUCAGAAUGGACUGCUGCUGACAAGUGAAUCCUUUGCAGAUCUUCUGCAAAGAGUGGGGUGACGUAGGCCAGGCAGCAGUUUUACUAGCGCUAGUCUGUAGGGCUGUUCCCAGCUGAGCCAGCAACAAUCAGGUCAGUCUCUGCCUUGCAGUGAUGAUUGUGGCAGAGUAGCCAGAGGGAGUUGCUGGGGAGUUCUGGAUAAUGUGAAUCUGAGUGCUUGGCAAUAGUGUAAGAUCAGGACCCUACAUGUGCAGGAACGUACAUGUGGGAGAUUACUGUAGCUAUGGCUGGCUGCCAGCCAUUCUGGUGGUUUGUAGCUGAGGAGUUGAAAUGCUAAGAAUUUCUGAUACCAUAUGAAAUCUAACGAAAUUUCUUCACAAUAUAGAGGAGAUCACAUACAGAUCACGCUGGUGCUACUGUAACACCAAAGUCUGCUAAGAAUACGUGAGGCUAGUGUUAUGGCCUGUGCCUGUGUCACAGAGAUACAAAGAGAAAAGGCAAGCAUGAAGAUGUGGGGUUUCUGCAAAUAUUUCAUGAAAACGUGGUUCUGUUUCACAGCUUUCUAUAUAAGUUGGCAGACUGAUAUAGAAUUAGGUGGGGAUGCUGCUGAGGCUUGCGGCAACAGCAAAGAGAAGCAACAGCUAAGGGACUUAUUUCUCAAUAAUGAAUGAGGUGAGGUAAAAUAGAAGCUCAGGAUUUGGGGAUUAAAUGUAUUAGAAUUAUUGAGUUAUUAAUAAUCUAUGUCUUUGAAAGCUGGGAGAUCAUCUUACAUUUAUAUUAAAAGGUUUGUUACAUUAUACUCUAAAAUGUCAUGCUGUGUAAUUGUGAAGGGAAAGGAACUGGAAGAAAAUCACUCAUAAAAGAGUAUUUCUAAAAAUAUAUUUCUGUAACUUAGGUAAAGAAAAAUAUUCUGGAUAUUUAGUGAGGGGGAAAAGGGGUGGGAAACGGACUCCUAAAAUGAGAGUUAAUAAGUGACGUUAUACAAUGGACUGAUUUUUAUGGCUCAGUUAUAAACCUUUGAAAGCAAGGGUUUAGAGAGUAAGUGCUGACACUAUCUUAAACACUGUAAAACAUUCUGUAAUAGUACCAGAUUCCUGGGAUUUCUUUAUGUAUCUUUUUUUUAAUAGCUAAGCCUUUUGAAAAGAAAUAGUACAGAUUCUAGUAAGAACUACAGAUGAAGAAUGGUAGCUUUUUGCUCUAGUAUAAUAGGUGUCAGUACUAAAGAUUAUUGACUUUCUAGCAACAUACUGUAAGAAACCAUAAUAAAAGUCCUGACCUUCUGCA